AUCACCUGGGGUCUUGUUAAAGUGCAGAUCGUGCAUCCCGAGGUCUGGGGGAGCUGAGAUUCUGCAUUUCUAAUCAGUUCCCAGGUGCUGCCAC
rnacentral:miRNA from 1 species